UGUGAAUGGUGCCCGGUCGGCCCACACAUGCAAGUCGAACGGCAGCACAGGAGAGCUUGCUCUCUGGGUGGCGAGUGGCGGACGGGUGAGGAAUACAUCGGAAUCUACUCUGUCGUGGGGGAUAACGUAGGGAAACUUACGCUAAUACCGCAUACGACCUACGGGUGAAAGCAGGGGACCUUCGGGCCUUGCGCGAUUGAAUGAGCCGAUGUCGGAUUAGCUAGUUGGCGGGGUAAAGGCCCACCAAGGCGACGAUCCGUAGCUGGUCUGAGAGGAUGAUCAGCCACACUGGAACUGAGACACGGUCCAGACUCCUACGGGAGGCAGCAGUGGGGAAUAUUGGACAAUGGGCGCAAGCCUGAUCCAGCCAUACCGCGUGGGUGAAGAAGGCCUUCGGGUUGUAAAGCCCUUUUGUUGGGAAAGAAAUCCAGCUGGCUAAUACCCGGUUGGGAUGACGGUACCCAAAGAAUAAGCACCGGCUAACUUCGUGCCAGCAGCCGCGGUAAUACGAAGGGUGCAAGCGUUACUCGGAAUUACUGGGCGUAAAGCGUGCGUAGGUGGUCGUUUAAGUCCGUUGUGAAAGCCCUGGGCUCAACCUGGGAACUGCAGUGGAUACUGGACGACUAGAGUGUGGUAGAGGGUAGCGGAAUUCCUGGUGUAGCAGUGAAAUGCGUAGAGAUCAGGAGGAACAUCCAUGGCGAAGGCAGCUACCUGGACCAACACUGACACUGAGGCACGAAAGCGUGGGGAGCAAAGUUAGGAA
rnacentral:rRNA from 1 species